CAGGAAUGAUGAUUUCCACUUCAUGGUCCGUGUUUCUGAAACCUAUGAUCUAUGUGGAAGUUCUGACCUU